rnacentral:rRNA from 1 species
UGGAAUUGCCAUUGAUACUGGUCGCCUUGAAUUAGUGUGAAGUGGCUAGAAUAUGUAGUGUAGCGGUGAAAUGCUUAGAUAUUACAUAGAAUACCGAUUGCGAAGGCAGGUCACUAACACUAUAUUGACGCUGAUGGACGAAAGCGUGGGGAGCGAACAGGAUUAGAUACCCUGGUAGUCCACGCCGUAAACGAUGGAUACUAGCUGUCCGGCCUGCAUUGGUAGGCUGGGUGGCCAAGCGAAAGUGAUAAGUAUCCCACCUGGGGAGUACGUUCGCAAGAAUGAAACUCAAAGGAAUUGACGGGGGCCCGCACAAGCGGUGGAGCAUGUGGUUUAAUUCGAUGAUACGCGAGGAACCUUACCAGGGCUUAAAUGUAGUCUGACAGGGGUGGAAACACCCCCUUCUUCGGACAGACUGCAAGGUGCUGCAUGGUUGUCGUCAGCUCGUGCCGUGAGGUGUCAGGUUAAGUCCUAUAACGAGCGCAACCCCUGUCGUUAGUUGCCAGCAUGUAAAGAUGGGAACUCUAACGAGACUGCCGGUGCAAGCCGUGAGGAAGGUGGGGAUGACGUCAAAUCAUCACGGCCCUUACGUCCUGGGCCACACACGUGCUACAAUGGCAGGUACAAUGGGCAGCCACGCCGCAAGGCGGAGCGAAUCCACAAAACCUGUCUCAGUUCGGAUCGGGGUCUGCAACUCGACCCCGUGAAGCUGGAAUCGCUAGUAAUCGGAUAUCAGCCAUGAUCCGGUGAAUACGUUCCCGGGCCUUGUACACACCGCCCGUCAAGCCAUGGAAGCUGGAAGCACCUGAAGUCCGUCACCGCGAGGAGCGGCCUAGGGUGAAGCUGGUAACUGGGGCUAAGUCGUAACAAGGUAGCCGU